AGCAGCCGCGGUAAUUCCAGCUCCAAUAGCGUAUGUUAAAGUUGUUGCAGUUAAAAAGCUCGUAGUUGAAUUUCGGGGUUCCACCGUUGGUCGAGCUAUUGUUUGUACUGGCGUGUGGAAUUUCUACCUUCUGGGGAACUAUCAUGUUAUUAAUUUAGCGUGGUAGGAAACCAGGACCUUUACCUUGAAAAAUUAGAGUGUUCAAAGCAGGCUUAUGUCUGAAUACAUUAGCAUGGAAUAAUAAAAUAGGACGGUGGUCCUGUUUUGUUGGUUUCUGAAUCACCGUAAUGAUUAAUAGGGAUAGUUGGGGGCAUUAGUAUUCAAUUGUCAGAGUGAAAUUCUUGGAUUUAUUGAAGUACUAACUACUGCGAAAGCAAUUUGCCAAGGAUGUUUCAUUAAUCAAGAACGAAAGUUAGGGGAUCGAAG
rnacentral:rRNA from 1 species